rnacentral:rRNA from 1 species
UGGGUAACCUGCCCAAGAGAUCGGGAUAACACCUGGAAACAGAUGCUAAUACCGGAUAACAACAGAUGAUGCCUAUCAACUGUUUAAAAGAUGGUUCUGCUAUCACUCUUGGAUGGACCUGCGGUGCAUUAGCUAGUUGGUAGGGUAACGGCCUACCAAGGCGAUGAUGCAUAGCCGAGUUGAGAGACUGAUCGGCCACAUUGGGACUGAGACACGGCCCAAACUCCUACGGGAGGCAGCAGG